GUGUCAGCAGCCGCGGUAAUACGAAGGUCCCAAGCGUUGUUCGGAUUUACUGGGCGUAAAGAGUCUGUAGGCGGCGGGGUAAGUCAGAUGUGAAAUCCCGGGGCUCAACCCCGGAACUGCAUCCGAUACUGCCUUGCUAGAGUAUUGGAGGGGAGCCUGGAAUUCUCGGUGUAGCAGUGAAAUGCGUAGAUAUCGAGAGGAACACUAGUGGCGAAGGCGAGGCUCUGGACAAUUACUGACGCUGAGAGACGAAGGUCAGGGGAGCGAAAAGGAUUAGAAACCCGUGUAGUCC
rnacentral:rRNA from 1 species